GGCGCUGUGGCUUAGUGGGUUAAAGCGCCUGUCUAGUAAACAGGACAUCCUGAGUUCAAAUCUCAGCAGUGCCU
rfam:Xenopus laevis strain J chromosome 3L, whole genome shotgun sequence.